UUUAGGUUAGAUAUGAGGAAAAAGUAUUUUACAGUAAGGGUGGUGAGGCACUGGAACAGGUUACCUAGUGUUGUGGCUGAUGCCCCAUCCCUGGAGACUGUGAAGGUGGGGCUGGAAAAGGCUCUGGGCAACCUGAUCUAGCUGUGCAUGUCCCUGUUCAUUGCAGCGGAGCUGAAUGAGAUGACCUUUAAAGGUCCCUUUGAACUCUGAGGAUUCUAUGAUUCUAUGAUUCUGUGACUGGGGAGGGGCUGCCACUGCCUGGAGACUGGUUGGGCGUUGGUGGGUGGUGGGUGAUUGUGUUGUGUGUCACUUGUUUUGUAAAUAUGAUGAUGAUUAUUAUUAUUAAUUAUCAUUAAUUAUUAUUAUAAUUACUACUACUUUUCAUUUCCUUUUCGGUUUUAGUAAAUAGUUUUUAUCUCAAUACAUGACUUCUACGUUUUUUUUUUUGUUUUUUUUUUUCUGGUUCCUCAUCACACUGGGAGGGGAAGAGUGAGCAAAUGGCUGUGCAGGGCUGAGUUGCCUGCUGGGUCAAACCACAACGCCUGUCAUGUGUCACCUGAAUAAUGAGACCAACACCCUCCUCACUGCAGCCUCCUUUCAGCUCCUCAUCACUACGUGCUGGCCCAUGGACACUGAUGAUGCUCUUGGUUACUAAAUAGAGUUGGAGGUCCAUAAACUCCCUCUGGCAACAUCAGAGAUGUCAGAGACAAAGCUGGAGGAACAAACCUCAGGUGUGUCUCCAGUGAUGCCAUGAAGCCUACAGAAGUCCCUGGCGAAAUUGCUCUUUAUCUUUAUUGCUAUAUAUACUUCUUUAUCUGCUUGUCAAGACACUGUAUUUUUCCCUGAUAAAAUGAAGAACAACAGGCAUUGAACAAAAUCAGAGUGGUUGAUGAUAAUCUCAGUUAACUUCCUGGAGAUUCCAGUCAUUGGUCACAGUCAAGCUGAGCAGUGGGGUUGGAGGUAUGGACAAUUUGAACUAAGACAAGCUGACAUUAAGAAGCUGUAAUAAAGUCCAUGUGAAGUUA